UUCAAUUAAUUAAAUUCUCUCCUCUCUCUUCAAAAUACACAUAACACCUUCUCUCCUAUCUCUUCAAAAUUACCAGAGCUUCAACACCAAAAUUCAUAGAGCUUCAAUAUUCAUCUCUCUCUCAUCUCUUCAAAAACCAGAGAUGAACUCGCCGUAGAAAAUCUAACCGCCGGAGAAAACCAUAACCGCCGCCCUCCUUAAAAACCAAACCGCCGCCCUCCUUAAAAACCUAACCGCCGGAGAAAACCAUCACCACCGCCCCCAUUCGCCGCCCCCUUUCUUAUCCGAUCUCGUUUCCCCGUGGAAGAUGAUAGCCACAACUUGACCAACAGGAUAAGCAUUUGGGUGAAGGGAUCAAGUCAUUUUGUUCAACUAGAUCUGAGACCCGACCCGUUUUGUGCGGUGGUUGAUGUCAUGAUGAGCUCCGUUUUUUGUGAAUUACUAGAUUCUGGUGGUUGAUAUCAUGUUUUUGAUUUUUUUAAUCUUGUUUUGAGUUAUGGAUCUUGUGUAUUUUGAUGUUCCAUCUGGUUUUUGUUUUGAUCUGUUAGAAUGGGCAAACCAGGUGGUGGGUGGUGGGCAGAGGCGGUGCCGGUAGUACAACCGGUGGUGGGUGGUGGGUAGAGGUGGUGCUGGAUUUGGGUUUUCGACGGUUUUUCGGAGGCGAUGGUGGCGGUGAAAGGUGGAGAAAUCAUAGGAAGACGGUUUUCGACGGUUCGACAGCUAGGUGGUGGGCCGGCGGCAGCGCCGCCGUGAGCGACGGAGGCCCUGGUCUCCUCCCGACGAGUUGAUGAUUUCUCUGUUGAUUUUUCUGGUGAUUUCUUGGCCUGUGUUCUCCACAUGUGUUCUUGAAUGAUGAUGAUGAUACCGAUGGUAUUUUGGUAUGUUUGGUAUUUUUGAUCUUGUUUUGAUCUGUUGGGGAUUUUGAUCUUAAUAUUUGUUAUGAUUUGGUAUGUGGGUUUUUUGGGGGUGGCGAUGAUGCAAAAAAAAAAAAAAACUAGAUUUUUGAUGACGAUGGCUCGGCAACGAUGGUGGAGGGUAGAUCUUUGAACCCGCAACCCCACUUUGCAGCGUUUUAAUUAUCGGAAAAAAUCUGAGCCAAACCCUUUUUUUUCGAGAUACACUUUUGUUUUUUUGUUGUUGUUGGUUUUUCAUAUUCUUUCCCCCGUCGAUGACGAUAAAAAUCUAUCCGAGACACCUACCGACUUUGCGAUUUAUGGGUGCGUUCGUCUUUGCGUAAACAAGUUUUCGUGUAAAAAAGUUUUUGUGAAAAAAAAGUUCAACCGCAAACUUUUACGUAAAACGUAAAAAGUUUAACGUAAAACUUAAAAAAAGUAAAACGUCAAAAAGUUUAACGUAAAACUUAAAACUUAAAAAGUUUUACAUAAAACGUAAAAUUUAAAAACAUAAAAAGUUUAACGUAAAACGUAAAAUGUUUUACAUAAAACGUAAAACCGAAAAAAACGUUAACGUAAAAAACCCGGGGCGUAAAACAUAAAAAACCAACACGUAAAACUUAAAAAACCGACGCGUAAAACGUAAAAAACCGACGCGUAAAACGUAAAAAACCGGGGCGUAAAACGUAAAAAACCGACGUGUAAAACGUAAAAUAACAUUAACGUAAAAAUUGGUGCGUAAAAUGUAAAAAAAAACGUUAACGUAAAAAACCCGGGGCGUAAAACGUAAAAAACCGACACGUAAAACGUAAAAAACCGACGCGUAAAACGUAAAAAACCGACGCGUAAAACGUAAAAAACCGGGGCGUAAAACGUAAAAAACCGACACGUAAAACGUAAAAAACCUACGCGUAAAACGUAAAAACCGGGACGUAAAACGUAAAAAACCGACACGUAAAACGUAAAAAACCGACACGUAAAACGUAAAAAACCGAGGCGUAAAACGUAAAAAACCUGGGCGUAAAACGUAAAAAAACCGACGUGUAAAACGUAAAAUAACGUUAACGUAAAAAUUGGCGCGUAAAAUGUAAAAAAAAACGUUAACGUAAAAAACGGCGCGUAAAACGGGCCGUAUGAACGGCGCGUAAAAACGGGACAUGAAAACGGGACGCUAAAACGGCGUGUUAAAAAACGGCGUUAAAAACGGCGCGUAAAAAACGGCGUUAAAAAACGGCGCGUUAAAAAAAACGGCGUAAAAAAAACGGCGGUAAAAAACGGCGCGUAAAAACGACGGUUGAAAAAACCCGGCGUGCAAAAACCGGCCCGCAAAAAAAAUUGUAUUUUGUUAAAAAAUUUGAAUUUAAAUUGUUUUUACUAAAAAAAUCUUUUAA
rnacentral:lncRNA from 1 species